CUGUACCCAAAUACCCCACACCCCUUUCUAUCCCAAGCCCUCCACCUCUCAUUCUUAUCCUCUUCCUGUUUUCAGGUUAUGCUGCACCUGACCAAAGGGACCAUGCCUGGUGAGACAGAGGUCACCAUCGAAAACAAAAGAAGGAAACAGAUCCAGGAGGUCAAGCUAACAUGCUCCCUACUGGGCAAAACCAGGGAAAAGCCUAAGGACCACUAGAUAUGAGGCACGUUUGCUUCCUCAUCCUUACUGAGCUCUGCUAGAUGCCAGGCACAAAGCUAGGGACUGAGUGAAGAAGGAUGUCCCAGGCAGCAGGAGGAUCUAGCAAACUCUAUCGCCAGCAACCAGGAGAAAAGCAAGGCCUGGAGAUGCCAGCAAACACGAGGAGCUCAGGAGUGAGAUGUCACCAUGUCGAUGGGGAUACCAGUGAUAGAACAUAUUGCAUUGCUCAGUAUGAGGAAAAACAAAAAGAGCUUCUCUUUGAAAUUGGGAUCUAAAGUCCCAAGGAAAGGAAAAAUAGUAGGGGCAUAAUGAAAGCAUAAAGAAAAGCAUGAGAAUUGAAACCUUCAGUGAAGACACCCAACAGUGGAAUUGCAAAAAUAAUGAAUCAUUGAUGUAGAGGAGAAACAUGCUACUCUCCCUUCAAAUAUGAAGAAAGAAGGACAAAAUAUAGGAGAUCCUCAGAUAAAAUGUGAUAGAUUUAGAGAUUGCAAAUGAAGAUCCAAUCUAAAAAUUGAAGUUUUUGAAUUAAAA
rnacentral:lncRNA from 12 species